AAUGAACGCUGGCGGCAUGCCCUUACACAUGCCAAGUCGAACGGCAGCAUGACCUAGCCUUGCUUAGUUUAUGGCGAGUGGCAACGGGUGAGUAAUGCAUCCGAAACGUCCCUUUUAGUGGGGGAUAACGUAGCGAAAGUUACGCUUAAUACGCAUAUUCUCUGAGGAGGAAAGCAGGGGACCUUUCGGGCCCUUUGCGCUUAGAAGAGCGCCCGAUGUCCGGAUUUAGCUAGUUUGGUGAGUUAAAGGCCUCACCAAGGCAACGAUCCCGUAGCGGGUUCUUGAGAGGAUGACCGCCCACACUGGGACUUGAGACCACGGCCCCAGACUUCCUACGGGGAGGCAGCAGUUGGGAAAUUUUGGACAAUUGGGCGCAAGCCCUGAUCCCAGCCAUGCCGCGUGAGUGAAGAAGGCCUUUCGGGUUGUAAAGCUCUUUUCGGCUGGGAAGAAAUCGCACUCUCUAAUAACAGGGUGUGGAUGACGGUACCAGCAUAAGAAGCACCGCUAACUAC
rnacentral:rRNA from 1 species